GAUGAACGCUGGCGGCGUGCCUAUACAUGCAAGUCGAGCGAACAGAUGAGGAGCUUGCUCCUCUGACGUUAGCGGCGGACGGGGGAGUAACACGUGGAUAACCUACCUAUAAGACUGGGAUAACUUCGGGAAACCGGAGCUAAUACCGGAUAAUAUAUUGAACCGCAUGGUUCAAUAGUGAAAGACGGUUUUGCUGUCACUUAUAGAUGGAUCCGCGCCGCAUUAGCUAGUUGGUAAGGUAACGGCUUACCAAGGCAACGAUGCGUAGCCGACCUGAGAGGGUGAUCGGCCACACUGGAACUGAGACACGGUCCAGACUCCUACGGGAGGCAGCAGUAGGGAAUCUUCCGCAAAGGGCGAAAGCCUGACGGAGCAACGCCGCGUGAGUGAUGAAGGUCUUCGGAUCGUAAAACUCUGUUAUUAGGGAAGAACAAAUGUGUAAGUAACUAUGCACGUCUUGACGGUACCUAAUCAGAAAGCCACGGCUAACUACGUG
rnacentral:rRNA from 1 species